UACGGAGGGUGCAGGCGUUAAUCGGAAUUACUGGGCGUAAAGCGUGCGCAGGCGGUUUGUUAAGUCCGUUGUGAAAGCCCCGAGCUCAACUUGGGAAUUGCAGUGGAUACUGGCAGGCUGGAGUACGGUAGAGGAAGGUGGAAUUCCCGGUGUAGCAGUGAAAUGCGUAGAGAUCGGGAGGAACACCAGUGGCGAAGGCGGCCUUCUGGACCAGUACUGACGCUGAGGUGCGAAAGCGUGGGGAGCAAACAGG
rnacentral:rRNA from 1 species